GAAAGAACACAGAGAAAAAAUGAUCAAGAACAACUUUGAGCGGUGG
rnacentral:rRNA from 1 species